AUCGAUGAAGAACGCAGCGAAAUGCGAUACGUAAUGUGAAUUGCAGAAUUCCGUGAAUCAUCGAAUCUUUGAACGCACCUUGCGCCCCUUGGUAUUCUGAGGGGCAUGCCUGUUUGAGUGUCAUUGUAAUCUCUCAACUUUGGUCUUUGGUUUCUUAACCCAAGGCCCAGAGUUUGGAUGGUGGAGGUGUGCUGGCCGCCCCCCGUGGAGGGUCAGCUCCUCUGAAAAGAAUCAGCAAAGGGAAACGUACCUGUUCCUGCAUCUCGUGCUUCUGGCAUUGAUAAUUGUCUAUGCCUGUUGUGGCUCAGAUGCCUUUUGGAUCGGGCGAGCGUCUUUGCUUACAGUUGUCCUUUGGACAUUUUUGACAAAUCACCUCAAAUCAGGUAGGACUACCCGCUGAACUUAAGCAUAUCAAUAAGCGGAGGAAAAGAAACUAACAAGGAUUCCCCUAGUAACUGCGAGUGAAGCGGGAAGAGCUCAAAUUUAAAAUCUGGCAGUUUUGCUGUCCGAGUUGUAAUCUAGAGAAGCGUUUUCCGUGCUGGACCGUGUACAAGUCUCUUGGAAUGGAGCGUCGUAGAGGGUGACAAUCCCGUCUUUGACACGGACUGCCGGUGCUUUUGUGAUGCGCUCUCAAAGAGUCGAGUUGUUUGGGAAUGCAGCUCAAAAUGGGUGGUAAACUCCAUCUAAAGCUAAAUACAGGCGAGAGACCGAUAGCGAACAAGUACCGUGAGGGAAAGAUGAAAAGAACUUUGAAAAGAGAGUUAAACAGUACGUGAAAUUGUUGAAAGGGAAACGAUUCAAGUCAGCCGCGUUGGUCGGAAAUCAACCUUGCACUCUUGUGAGAGGCUUACUUUCCGGUUGACGGGUCAGCAUCAAUUUUUGACCGUCGGAUAAAGUCCUGGGGAAUGUGGCAUCUUUGGAUGUGUUAUAGCCCCUUGUCGCAUGCGACGGUUGGGAUUGAGGAACGCAGCGCGCCGUAAAGGUCGGGGCCUUUGGGCUCACGUACACGUGCUUUGGAUGCUGGCAUAAUGGCUUGAACCGACCCGUCUUGAAACACGG
rnacentral:rRNA from 1 species